rnacentral:rRNA from 1 species
GUCUGUGUGAGGUAGUUUAUGCACAGUCUGGCCUGCCCCCUGAAAGUUUUAAAGGGCCGCGGUAUCUGAACCGUGCUAAGGUAGCAUAAUAAAUAGUCUUUUAAUUGAGGUCUAGUAUGAAUGGUCGGACAUGAAGUAAUCUGUUUUAGUUGUAAGAUUUGAAUUUUACUUUUAAGUGAAAAGGCUUAAAUUGUAUGGUGGGACGAUAAGACCCUAUAAAGCUUUACAUCUUAUUUGUUAGCUGGGGGGUUUAUGGUUUUCUAUGUUUGUCAGGUAAGGUGUUUCGUUGGGGCGACGAAAAUAUAAAAUGGUAACUGUUUUUAAUUUAAAAAUAAGUUUUUUUAGGUGUUAUGAUCCUUUGUAAAGAUUAUAAGAAUAAAGUUACUUUAGGGAUAACAGCGUGAUUUUUCUUGAGAGUUCAUAUCGACAGAAUUAGUUGCGACCUCGAUGUUGAAUUAAGAUGCCCCUAAGGUGUAGCAGUUUUAGUGGUAGGUCUGUUCGACCUUUAAAAUCUUACAUGAUUUGAGUUCAGACCGGCGUG